GUGCUCGCUUCUGCCGCACAUAGUAAAAUUGGAAUGAUACAGAGAUUAGCAUGGCCCCUGUGUAAGGAUGACACGCUAAUUCGUGAAGCGCUCCAUAUUUUU